UACGUAGGGACCAAGCGUUGUCCGGAAUCAUUGGGCGUAAAGAGCGUGUAGGCGGCUUGUUAAGUCUUGUGUGAAAUCUCGGGGCUCAACCCCGAGCGGUCAUGAGAAACUGGCAGGCUAGAGUCCGGAAGAGGAGAGUGGAAUUCCUGGUGUAGCGGUGAAAUGCGCAGAUAUCAGGAAGAACACCAAUGGCGAAAGCAGCUCUCUGGGACGGUACUGACGCUGAGACGCGAAAGCGUGGGGAGCGAACAGG
rnacentral:rRNA from 1 species